rnacentral:misc_RNA from 1 species
UAAUCGAGGAGCUCUUCGUCC